rnacentral:rRNA from 1 species
AUUGAACGCUGGCGGCAUGCUUUACACAUGCAAGUCGAACGGUAACAGGCCUUCGGGUGCUGACGAGUGGCGAACGGGUGAGUAAUGCAUCGGAACGUGCCCAAUCGUGGGGGAUAACGUAGCGAAAGUUACGCUAAUACCGCAUAAGCCCUGAGGGGGAAAGCAGGGGAUCGCAAGACCUUGCGUUCUGGGAGCGGCCGAUGUCGGAUUAGCUAGUUGGUGGGGUAAAGGCCUACCAAGGCGACGAUCCGUAGCGGGUCUGAGAGGAUGAUCCGCCACACUGGGACUGAGACACGGCCCAGACUCCUACGGGAGGCAGCAGUGGGGAAUUUUGGACAAAUGGGCGCAAGCCUGAUCCAGCCAUGCCGCGUGAGUGAAGAAGGCCUCGG